rnacentral:rRNA from 1 species
CCUACGGGAGGCAGCAGUGGGGGAUAUUGCACAAUGGGGGAAACCCUGAUGCAGCGACGCCGCGUGGAGGAAGAAGGUUUUCGGAUUGUAAACUCCUGUCGUUAGGGACGAUAAUGACGGUACCUAACAAGAAAGCACCGGCUAACUACGUGCCAGCAGCCGCGGUAAUACGUAGGGGGCAAGCGUUAUCCGGAUUUACUGGGUGUAAAGGGAGCGUAGACGGUGUGGCAAGUCUGAUGUGAAAGGCAUGGGCUCAACCUGUGGACUGCAUUGGAAACUGUCAUACUUGAGUGCCGGAGGGGUAAGCGGAAUUCCUAGUGUAGCGGUGAAAUGCGUAGAUAUUAGGAGGAACACCAGUGGCGAAGGCGGCUUACUGGACUGAAACUGACACUGAGGCACGAAAGCGUGGGGAGCAAACAGGAUU